AUGUUGGAGCAUGAGUCGUGCCUCGGAAAGGGCCUUGGCUAUUCGGUCAGCUCGGGGUAUGAGUUAAUGGCGGAUUCCUUCAUUCAAUAUGGUCUGGCGCAAGCUUUUGAUCAUGCAUUUCAAAGUGUUUGGAAAGUGGAGGUGCCAUUAAAAAUAAAUACUUUCGGUUGGAGAUGUUUUCUAAACAGACUUCCCACGAGAGAUCUUCUUAGUUGUAGAGGUGCUAUAUUGACAUGA